UCUGAGCUUGAGCUGUAAUAAAGUGUACAGAGGAGCAAAUAAGAUGGGGCCAGAAAAGUAAUAACAUUUUGCAAUAGUCUAAUUUAGUAAACAGUCAACUUGGUGUUAGAGAAAAGAAGGGUCGUGGUCACGGAAAACAGCAGCUUUCAACAUCAAUAAUCAUAAAAAUACUGAAAACAGCACCUCAAAUUUGUAAAGAGUGCUUUUCAUCACUAUGGAAUGAGAAUUUGAAGUCAUGGCAAUGUAGGAUUGCAAAAAUAUCCACGGAUUCAAAAUAUGUUUCCAUAAAUCUCUUUUCAAGUUUACCAUUGCGAUUUUAGCUUGCACUAAACUACCCAAGCAAAAUGUUAUCAUAUUAUCCCUUUCAACAUACUUUUCACUUGACUUGAUCUCUAUCACAUCUAAAAUAAGAGAAACGUAUUAGAUUCGAUUCAAUGGGCGCAUGAAUUAUUCAUAAUUCUUAGAAACAGAGUCAGAGAUUUCACUUACCAUCCAUUUUAACGAGAGAAGAGCCAAAGAGACGCACUUGAGGUUGCUACAUCGCUGUGCCCUACCGCUGAUCACUCGUUCCCAGAUCCCUGUUCUUAGACGUUUGACCGUGGUUCCUCCCUCAUUCUACGCGAUACUUUUACUUGUACAUCCAUGAAUGAGGGGCCGUCCACACUAACACGGAUUCGUUUCAAAAUAAGUAUACUUUUUGAUACGUUUAGGCCUUCCGUACUAGCACGGAGGUGGGAUCCAGCGAAUCCGGAUACUUUUGAAAACGCUGUUGAAAGUGAAUCUAAAUGAAUCCGUAUACUUUGGUCCGUAGUGUGGACGGUAGAAUCCGUAUCAAAAUGAAAACGAUGGCGUCUAUCGCAGGCGCGCUCUGCUUUGAGUACGCGCAUAUCAUAAAGUGUGGACGACCCCUUAGUUGACCUCCAGUGAGCGCAAAUGUGUACAUUUUUGACAUCGUGAAAAGCCAGCGACAAAAAUAUAAAGCAAAGUGUUAUCAGUAUCACACCAGCACAGAUACACGAACCAUUGACGAUGAAUUGCCUUCGAUCUCUAGCGACAUUGUGUUCCAUACACCACCGUUAAGGUACUUCUAGCGUCGGUUAACCUGACAGGUUUAAUCGUGCUAAUUAUGUAGAAUAUUUUCGAGUGAUCCAAAUCGCAAAUGUAAGGUAAACGAGGACGCUUCCUUUGUGGUUGUUUUUUGAUCUUGUUUACCACCAUCAAGUAUCUUCUUUGAGCACUAAUAAACCUCGAAGUCACUGG